AUAAAAGUUUUAUCCUGGCUCAUAAUUCUUAUUUUUAGGUUGAUGAUACAUGUUAGUUUUGUCGCGACAAAAAGUUUAUUUAAUUUGAUAUUAUAUAAAUUACAAGUGUAGAGAUGUCAAUAAAAAAUUAAUUCUCAGUAUCUAGUGCUAAUAUUAUAAAUGCAAGUUGGAAUUGGUAAUCUUAAUUUUAUUUACCUGGCUAAAAUUUGUGCCAGCAGCCGCGGUUAUACUGAGAGGUAAAUUAAGAAAUGUUUGGUUAAAAAUAAUUAAGUGUUUGGCUUUAUUUUUAUGGUUUCGUACUGAUAAAGGGUGAAAUCAAUUUUUUGGUGUGAGAACAGUUAAAAAAGUAGCUUAAACUGAGGUUAUUAAGAUAAAGGUAUGAACCAGGAUUAGAUACCCUGUUACACUUUAUUUAAAUUUUGUUUACCCGGGUAAUAAGCAGUUAUUGUCUUGAAACUCAAAGGAUUUGGCGGUAAUUUAGUCUAUUUAGAGGAACCUGUUCUGUAAUCGAUAAACCACGAAGUAUCUUACCUUAUUUAGUAGAUAAUCAGUUUGUAUACCGUCAUUAUUAGAUAACUUUAAUAAAAAUCAGUUGUUGAAAUAAUUGUUUUAAUAUAUUAGAUCAAGGUGCAGCUAAUAGUAAGGAAGAAAUGGGUUACAAUAUUAUAUAUUAAAACGGAUUAAAAGAUGAAACAUUUUAUGAAGGUGGAUUUAAUAGUAAGAGGGGUUUAAUAAGCCCUUUUGAUUUUAGCUCUAGAUUAUGUACACAUCGCCCGUCGCUCUCGUUAGUUAAAGCGAGAUAAGUCGUAACAUAGUAGGUGUACUGGAAAGUGUACCUAGAAAUU
rnacentral:ncRNA from 1 species